CGGGCGUCUUAACAUGCAAGUCGAACGAUUAAAGCACCUUCGGGUGUGUAUAAAGUGGCGAACGGCUGAGUAACACGUGGGCAACCUGCCCCUUUCAUUGGGAUAGCCACGGGAAACCGUGGAUAAUACCGAAUACUUCGAGACUUCCGCAUGGAAGACUCGAGAAAGCUCCGGCGGAGAGGGAUGGGCCCGCGGCCUGUUAGCUUGUUGGUGGGGUAACGGCCUACCAAGGCAAUGAUGGGUAGCUGGGUUGAGAGACCGACCAGCCAGAUUGGGACUGAGACACGGCCCAGACUCCUACGGGAGGCAGCAGUGGGGAAUCUUGCACAAUGGGCGAAAGCCUGAUGCAGCGACGCCGCGUGCGGGAUGAAGGCCUUCGGGUUGUAAACCGCUUUCAGCAGGGACGAGGCGAAAGUGACGGUACCUGCAGAAGAAGCCCGGGUAAUUC
rnacentral:rRNA from 2 species